AAUGACUCUCGGCAACGGAUAUCUCGGCUCUCGCAUCGAUGAAGAACGUAGCGAAAUGCGAUACUUGGUGUGAAUUGCAGAAUCCCGUGAACCAUCGAGUCUUUGAACGCAAGUUGCGCCCCAAGCCUUUUGGCCGAGGGCACGUCUGCCUGGGUGUCACAAA
rnacentral:rRNA from 1 species